ACUGACGCUAAAGCUCGAAGGUGCGGGUAUCGAACAGGAUUAGAUACCCUGGUAGUCCGCACGGUAAACGAUGGAUGCCCGCUGUUCGCGAUAUACUGUGAGCGGCCAAGAGAAAUCGUUAAGCAUCCCACCUGGGGAGUACGCCGGCAACGGUGAAACUCAAAGGAAUUGACGGGGGCCCGCACAAGCGGAGGAACAUGUGGUUUAAUUCGAUGAUACGCGAGGAACCUUACCCGGGCUUGAACUGCAGGGGAACGAUACAGAGGUGUUGAGGUCCUUCGGGACCCCUGUGGAGGUGCUGCAUGGUUGUCGUCAGCUCGUGCCGUGAGGUGUCGGCUUAAGUGCCAUAACGAGCGCAACCCUUUUCGUCAGUUGCCAUCAGGUGAUGCUGAGCACUCUGGCGAUACUGCCACCGUAAGGUGUGAGGAAGGUGGGGAUGACGUCAAAUCAGCACGGCCCUUACGUCCGGGGCUACACACGUGUUACAAUGGGGAGUACAGAGAGUCAACCGCCGGCAACGUCGGUUCAAUCAGGAAAGCUCUCCUCAGUUCGGAUUGGGGUCUGCAACCCGACCCCAUGAAGCCGGAUUCGCUAGUAAUCG
rnacentral:rRNA from 1 species